CUUUGUCCCAAGCCCAGGCAAGGACACGGCCUUCCUCUCUCUGUGUGUCCAGGGCUAGGACGGCUCCACCCUCUCUUCUCUCUCUGUUCUAGGCCUGCCUGGAAAAGGCUCAUCAGAGGUCCUGGUGGGGUAGGCCCCUUGGGGAGUUUGCUGUGGUCACCUCCCAAGUUCUCCAACUCCCCGACACAUCUGCUUUCCCGAGUGACAAAUUAAAACGUCUGAGGCGGCUGGAGCCGGCUGCCGCCAGCACACAUGGCCGACAUGUGAAGCUGUGGUCUUCCAGGGGUUUGGCGCAUUCCAUCCAGGACACAGGGACAGCAGUGUUUAGCAGUUGACACAAGAGGGGUUUCUGCUGCAUGCCAGACAGCUAAAAGGCUGCAAAAAAAUCUUUUGUGGGUUCCCUGGACACUUUGAAUUCUUCUUGCCAGCCUGACGGCUCUCUGCUUCUAGCACACUGCAAAGGGCUGUAACGUUCCUUGUGGCACUGGGUGAGCCUUCCUGAUGAGGACAGAAGGGCCCGGGAAAACUCCAAGGGACAAUAGAAGCCAAGAAUCCAAAUGCUUCCCCAGCCGGGCUCUGACGAGGAAGCCAGACCGAGUGCAGCCAGAACGUGGCUCGGCGCACCAAGGGGAGGAGAAGCCAAAAGACCCCAAGCGAAUCUUAGCUCUCUGCCCCCCACUCCCUGCUCCCCAGCCCCCUCCAGCCCUGCAGGGUUUGUGUUCAACAUCAAAUUAAGUGUUCAUGACAGCUAACCACAAGUUAUUAAAUGUGAUUCACGGCCACAUUGCUACGCCCUCACUGGUGGUACAGAAUAACCACUUAGACAAACCAUUUGAUUCAUGGCGUUGAUACAAAGAGGCUUUCAGAGCGAGAAGGGGCCUUCUUCGGCCUCUAGCUGAAAAUUGUUUUAUUUCCGUCAUUCUCUUAAACAGAAAUUAUACCCUGGAGAAAAUUCUUCCACUCAGACUUACUUUUUGCCAUCUUGAAUUGGGGCCCUUUGCCCCACAAGGGUCUUCGAGCGUCUCAACUCCAAAUGCUGUGAUGGUCUACUGCAGUCUGUGUGGCUGGAAUGGAUUCAUUUCUCACAGUCCUAACAGCUGAGGACUCCGGGACCAGGGUACCAGGCGAUUCAGUUUCUGGCAGGAGAGGUGACGGCAAUCCCAGCAGAGGAUGGGCGGGGCCUCGCAGCCCAGGAUAAUUCUCCAUCAGUUUGUUCCAGGAGAAGAAAGUAAAGUUCUAUCAAGCAAGCUGCGAUGUGGCGUCCACUCCCCCCACCCCCUCCGUCUCCUUCUCCAAAGCCACUGCCAGCCCACCCUACAUUUCUCAUGUUGAUUAUAAGUGAAGCUUUGACAAAGGGGCAUUCUGGGUAUCAGGCAACCACAUUAUAAUUCUACUGAAAAGUGUUCUUAUUGUUUCUAAAUUGCUGGUUAGAGUGAGCAACCCUUGUGACUUGGGAAGGAGAGGGGGGAGGAUUUUGAACAAACACAUUUAGCCUUAAAGCUGCGCUCCGUGAAUGGGGAAGAGUGGCAGACCGAGAUCACGGGUAUACAUACCUUAAUAUGCAAAGUGGCUUUGGCUUCCGAAGCAGACCCGUUAAGUCGCUCAAUUGUAAUUAAAGAGCCUCCUAGGGUGCCCAUGGAGGAUGACUGUGAUGGGCACAUUGAGUGCCCACAUAAAGGACAGGUAGCAUGCCUAGAUCAGAGGCCCACAAGCCAGGAGAAGCCGGCUCUUCCUCGUCUAUUGUAUUUUCCUGACCUACAGGGAAUAUGCUGUGUGCUACCAGUUUCCAGGGUUCCCGGUAGAGUGAAUUUCCUGGCAAUGGUCUGUAUUCUAAUGUAAAGACAGUAAAAAUAAAUGCAUCGCCUUACUCAU